rnacentral:tRNA from 1 species
GGGCCGUUAGCUCAGUUGGUUAGAGCGCAGUCCUGAUAAGACUGAGUUCCGUGGUUCGAUUCCACGUCGGCCCACCA